UCACUUUCAACAACGGAUCUCUUGGUUCUCGCAUCGAUGAAGAACGUAGCGAAGUGCGAUAAGUAAUGUGAAUUGCAGAAUUCCGUGAAUCAUCGAGUCUUUGAACGCAAAUUGCACUCCCUGGUAUUCCGGAGAGUAUGCCUGUUUGAGGGUCAGUG
rnacentral:rRNA from 1 species